rnacentral:misc_RNA from 1 species
UCAGGGUGACCCAGAGUGUCCCCAGGCGUCUGCUGGAGGCAGAGCCGUACUCCUCGCGAGCACGGACCAGCGGCGGUUGGAGUGGGGCCAUAAGGCUGCUCGGACGGUAUGUCGGGUAGGGCUUGCCCGACCCGACAACGUAUAGACUGGCUUCCCGGUGCUCCACUCCGACCGAGGAAGGAGGGCAGCUCUUGCCCGGUGUGGUGCACGCCGUAUGGCGGGGCCUCCCGUCGGGGGCGAGACGUGCUGG